rnacentral:rRNA from 1 species
GUGGGGAAUAUUGCACAAUGGGCGAAAGCCUGAUGCAGCAACGCCGCGUGAGGGACGACGGCCUUCGGGUUGUAAACCUCUUUUAGUAGGGAAGAAGCGAAAGUGACGGUACCUGCAGAAAAAGCACCGGCUAACUACGUGCCAGCAGCCGCGGUAAUACGUAGGGUGCAAGCGUUAUCCGGAAUUAUUGGGCGUAAAGAGCUCGUAGGCGGUCUGUCGCGUCUGCUGUGAAAACUGGAGGCUCAACCUCCAGCCUGCAGUGGGUACGGGCAGACUAGAGUGCGGUAGGGGAGAUUGGAAUUCCUGGUGUAGCGGUGGAAUGCGCAGAUAUCAGGAGGAACACCGAUGGCGAAGGCAGAUCUCUGGGCCAUAACUGACGCUGAGGAGCGAAAGCGUGGGGAGCGAACAGGAUUAGAGACCCGAGUAGUCC